GCGCCAAUGGUGUAAUGGUUAGCAUUAAUGCCUUCCAAGCAUUAGAUUCUGGUUCGAUUCCUGAUUGGCGCA
rfam:Diplodia seriata DS_831_scaffold_v01_30, whole genome shotgun sequence.